AUUGAACGCUGGCGGAAUGCUUUACACAUGCAAGUCGAGCGGCAGCGCGGGGGCAACCCUGGCGGCGAGCGGCGAACGGGUGAGUAACAUAUCGGAACGUACCCAGUCGUGGGGGAUAACUAUCCGAAAGGAUAGCUAAUACCGCAUUACGUCCUGAGGGAGAAAGCGGGGGAUCGCAAGACCUCGCGCGAUUGGAGCGGCCGAUAUCGGAUUAGCUAGUUGGUGGGGUAAAGGCUCACCAAGGCGACGAUCCGUAGCGGGUCUGAGAGGACGACCCGCCACACUGGAACUGAGACACGGUCCAGACUCCUACGGGAGGCAGCAGUGGGGAAUUUUGGACAAUGGGGGCAACCCUGAUCCAGCCAUUCCGCGUGAGUGAAGAAGGCC
rnacentral:rRNA from 1 species